GGAAGGGCAGUAGCUCAAUGGUAGGCCAUUUGCUUUUCAUGCAAAAGGUCUGAGGUUCUGUCCCCAGCAUUUCCA